rnacentral:rRNA from 1 species
CAGCCGCCGCGGUAAUACGGAGGGCGCGAGCGUUGUCCGGAUUUACUGGGCGUAAAGCGUGCGCAGGCGGCCCGUUAAGACAGGUGUGAAAUCCCUGGGCUCAACCUAGGAAUUGCGCUUGUGACUGGCGGGCUCGAGUACGGUAGAGGGGGGUGGAAUUCCUGGUGUAGCAGUGAAAUGCGUAGAGAUCAGGAGGAACACCGAUGGCGAAGGCAGCCCCCUGGGCCGGUACUGACGCUCAUGCACGAAAGCGUGGGGAGCAAACAGGAUUAGAUUCCCGGGUAGUCCACGCCCGAAACGAUGGGUACUAGCCGUUUGGUGCGCGAUAGCGCUGAGGGGCGAAGCUAACGCGUGAAGUACCCCGCCUGGGGAGUACGGCCGCAAGGUUGAAACUUAAAGGAAUUGGCGGG